rnacentral:rRNA from 1 species
CACUAUCGUUAACUGAAUACAUAGGUUAACGAGGCGAACCGGGGGAACUGAAACAUCUAAGUACCCCGAGGAAAAGAAAUCAACCGAGAUUCCCCCAGUAGCGGCGAGCGAACGGGGAGCAGCCCAGAGUCUGAAUCAGCUUGUGUGUUAGUGGAACGGUCUGGAAAGUCCGACGGUACAGGGUGAUAGUCCCGUACACCAAAAUGCACAGGCUGUGAACUCGAAGAGUAGGGCGGGACACGUGGUAUCCUGUCUGAAUAUGGGGGGACCAUCCUCCAAGGCUAAAUACUCCUGACUGACCGAUAGUGAACCAGUACCGUGAGGGAAAGGCGAAAAGAACCCCGGCGAGGGGAGUGAAAAAGAACCUGAAACCGUGUACGUACAAGCAGUGGGAGCACCUUCGGGUGUGACUGCGUACCUUUUGUAUAAUGGGUCAGCGACUUAUAUUCUGUAGCAAGGUUAACCGUAUAGGGGAGCCGCAGGGAAACCGAGUCUUAACUGGGCGUUAAGUUGCAGGGUAUAGACCCGAAACCCGGUGAUCUAGCCAUGGGCAGGUUGAAGGUUGGGUAACACUAACUGGAGGACCGAACCGACUAAUGUUGAAAAAUUAGCGGAUGACUUGUGGCUGGGGGUGAAAGGCCAAUCAAACCGGGAGAUAGCUGGUUCUCCCCGAAAGCUAUUUAGGUAGCGCCUCGUGAAUUCAUCUUCGGGGGUAGAGCACUGUUUCGGCUAGGGGGUCAUCCCGACUUACCAACCCGAUGCAAACUACGAAUACCGAAGAAUGUUAUCACGGGAGACACACGGCGGGUGCUAACGUCCGUCGUGAAGAGGGAAACAACCCAGACCGCCAGCUAAGGUCCCAAAGUCAUGGUUAAGUGGGAAACGAUGUGGGAAGGCACAGACAGCCAGGAUGUUGGCUUAGAAGCAGCCAUCAUUUAAAGAAAGCGUAAUAGCUCACUGGUCGAGUCGGCCUGCGCGGAAGAUGUAACGGGGCUAAACCAUGCACCGAAGCUGCGGCAGCGACACUAUGUGUUGUUGGGUAGGGGAGCGUUCUGUAAGCCUGCGAAGGUGUGCUGUGAGGCAUGCUGGAGGUAUCAGAAGUGCGAAUGCUGACAUAAGUAACGAUAAAGCGGGUGAAAAGCCCGCUCGCCGGAAGACCAAGGGUUCCUGUCCAACGUUAAUCGGGGCAGGGUGAGUCGACCCCUAAGGCGAGGCCGAAAGGCGUAGUCGAUGGGAAACAGGUUAAUAUUCCUGUACUUGGUGUUACUGCGAAGGGGGGACGGAGAAGGCUAUGUUAGCCGGGCGACGGUUGUCCCGGUUUAAGCAUGUAGGCUGGUUAUCCAGGCAAAUCCGGAUAAUCAAGGCUGAGGUGUGAUGACGAGGCACUACGGUGCUGAAGUAACAAAUGCCCUGCUUCCAGGAAAAGCCUCUAAGCAUCAGGUAACAUCAAAUCGUACCCCAAACCGACACAGGUGGUCAGGUAGAGAAUACCAAGGCGCUUGAGAGAACUCGGGUGAAGGAACUAGGCAAAAUGGUGCCGUAACUUCGGGAGAAGGCACGCUGGUGUGUAGGUGAAGUCCCUGCGGAUGGAGCUGAGACCAGUCGAAGAUACCAGCUGGCUGCAACUGUUUAUUAAAAACACAGCACUGUGCAAACACGAAAGUGGACGUAUACGGUGUGACGCCUGCCCGGUGCCGGAAGGUUAAUUGAUGGGGUUAUCCGUAAGGAGAAGCUCUUGAUCGAAGCCCCGGUAAACGGCGGCCGUAACUAUAACGGUCCUAAGGUAGCGAAAUUCCUUGUCGGGUAAGUUCCGACCUGCACGAAUGGCGUAAUGAUGGCCAGGCUGUCUCCACCCGAGACUCAGUGAAAUUGAACUCGCUGUGAAGAUGCAGUGUACCCGCGGCAAGACGGAAAGACCCCGUGAACCUUUACUAUAGCUUGACACUGAACAUUGAGCCUUGAUGUGUAGGAUAGGUGGGAGGCUUUGAAGCGUGGACGCCAGUCUGCGUGGAGCCAACCUUGAAAUACCACCCUUUAAUGUUUGAUGUUCUAACGUUGGCCCCUGACCGGGGUUGCGGACAGUGUCUGGUGGGUAGUUUGACUGGGGCGGUCUCCUCCCAAAGCGUAACGGAGGAGCACGAAGGUUAGCUAAUCCUGGUCGGACAUCAGGAGGUUAGUGCAAUGGCAUAAGCUAGCUUGACUGCGAGCGUGACGGCGCGAGCAGGUGCGAAAGCAGGUCAUAGUGAUCCGGUGGUUCUGAAUGGAAGGGCCAUCGCUCAACGGAUAAAAGGUACUCCGGGGAUAACAGGCUGAUACCGCCCAAGAGUUCAUAUCGACGGCGGUGUUUGGCACCUCGAUGUCGGCUCAUCACAUCCUGGGGCUGAAGUAGGUCCCAAGGGUAUGGCUGUUCGCCAUUUAAAGUGGUACGCGAGCUGGGUUUAGAACGUCGUGAGACAGUUCGGUCCCUAUCUGCCGUGGGCGCUGGAGAAUUGAGGGGGGCUGCUCCUAGUACGAGAGGACCGGAGUGGACGCAUCACUGGUGUUCGGGUUGUCAUGCCAAUGGCACUGCCCGGUAGCUAAAUGCGGAAGAGAUAAGUGCUGAAAGCAUCUAAGCACGAAACUUGCCCCGAGAUGAGUUCUCCCUGAGACUUUAAGUCUCCUGAAGGAACGUU